UACGGGGGGAGCAAGCGUUGUUCGGAUUUACUGGGCGUAAAGGGCCAGUAGGCGGCCAACUAAGUCCGACGUGAAAUCCCAAGGCUUAACCUUGGAACUGCGUCGGAUACUGGAUGGCUUGAAUUCGGGAGAGGGAUGCAGAAUUCCAGGUGUAGCGGUGAAAUGCGUAGAUAUCUGGAGGAAUACCGGUGGCGAAGGCGGCAUCCUGGACCGACAUUGACGCUGAGGCGCGAAAGCCAGGGGAGCAAACGGG
rnacentral:rRNA from 1 species